rnacentral:rRNA from 1 species
GACGAACGCUGGCGGUGUGCUUAACACAUGCAAGUCGAACGGUAAGGCCCUUUCGGGGGUACACGAGUGGCGAACGGGUGAGUAACACGUGAGUAACCUGCCCUCAUCUCUGGUAUAACAGUCGUAAACGGUUGCUAAUACUGGAUAUGAGCUUGCAAGGCAUCUUGUGGGUUGGAAAGAUUUUUUUGGUUGGGGAUGGACUCGCGGCCUAUCAGCUUGUUGGUGAGGUAGUGGCUCAACAAGGCUUCGACGGGUAGCCGGCCUGGGAGGGCGACCGGCCACAUUGGGACUGGGAUACGGCCCAAACUCCUACGGGAGGCAGCAGUGGGGAAUAUUGCACAAUGGACGGAAGUCUGAUGCAGCAACGCCGCGUGCGGGGUGACGGGCUUCGGGUUGUAAAACGCUUUCAAUUGUGACGAAGCUUUUUGUGACGGUAGCAGUAGAAGAAGCACCGGCUAACUACGUG